AUAUAUAUAUACACACACACACAAAUUCCAAUAACGGAGAAAGGUCACCCACACAGGAGCAUCUAGAGUAAAACCUUUGUAGUCUUUUCUUUAAGAGAAAAACAAGAGCGGCUGCAUAUUCAACCUAAGUCACCUCUCUGGAAGACUUUGCUGAUAGUGCUGCCCAGAAAAUGCAAAUUGGAACAAUAAUAUGCAGAGGGAAGGCCCUGCUGGAGAGCGCUAUGAUUCCUGCAGUAAAAUGAGAAUGUAAAAUCUAAGUCUCUGAGAAGAAUUGUACUGGAUCUUUGGGGAGGAGAAGGCCGUAUGGCUCUGUGAGAAAUGGCGGUGAGAAGAUUCCCCACGUGGGAUGAAGAUGGAGACCUGUGGAGGUCACAAGCCCAAGGAGAUGACUUGACUGUGUGAUACAUCCAAGGUGCUGGGGCUCUAGCAAUGGAAGUACCAACCUUGCCAAAAAUGCAAACACCCAAAACUUGGAACAUAAACUAACUAAAAAAAUAUUGGCUACCAGGGGAGGGAAACUGCUUCCAUACCAUUUUGAAAUGAACUCAGAACCUCUGUGUCAACAGUUCCAAGUUGGAAUUAAAACAAUGUGAUGUCAUAUCCCACAAGCUAGGAAAUUGUGCAUCUUCUGAAAAUGAUUUAUAAGGAAUAAAUGGAUACUUUUUGAGAGUUGAAUGUUUGAACUAAGAUUCAGACAGGCUAGACUUAUUUCCCAUCCAGCUUCUCCUAAAGUCUUCCUUGAUGUAUUAUAGGACAUCACUGACACAAAGUUCUGCAUUCGAAUUUAGUCAAAUUACUCAUUAGAGAUUUAUGUGCAUCUGAGUUCCUACUUGUAAAAUAGUGGUUCUCAACACUUAAUCCACAGGACGGUAGAGAGAGGAGAAAUAAUCAAUGUAAAGUAUGUGGUAAGUAGUGUUUGAGCAGUAAAUGUUUUUGUUCUUACACUUGUUAACCCUCUACUACCAUUAUAACUACCACGAAUAUGUCUACUAUAAUCAAAAUAGCAUUUUAUUCUCACAGCUUGACAUUCUCAAAAUUCUGAAAGCUUGUUGUGCACAUCAUUUAUCUGAAUGUUAUUCAAAAUUCUUCUGCACAGCAACUGGGCACCAAAUAAUAAACUUAUGAUCAUGAUUAUGACUGAAUUUAUUACUUACCCUGAUGGUUAUUUUUCCAAACCAUCUUGUAAAUAGCUACUAAGCAAAAACUUGGGAACUGGUUGUAGAAAAAGUAUCAUCUUGGGAGCGGUGCUCGUGUGGUGCUCAGGACUUACUCCUAGCUUUGCACU